UAUAUAUAUCUCUAUAUCUAUAUAUAUAUAUAUCUACCUCAGGAAAUAUAGUAAGUAGACAAGAUGGAGAAAUACCUAAAAGACUUGGAAGAUACCAGGAAUAUGGAUAUUCUAUAUACAUUAUAGAAUGUUGUGUGUAUUAUCUGUGCACGUUUCUUCUAUUAUGUUGGCCAGUGCUCCGGCCAACACCAGGUCCCAGCCAGCCUAUACACACAUCAGCACCCUGAAAUCGCAUUUGCGGGGUGCCAAUGGUAGACAGAAGGAGUCCGUUCCCUCUAUCACUGCUUACAUACGGCAGGCACCACUGCUCGCAGCAUGUAAGGGGUAUAUUGAUGCUCCUGCCGUCUGGGCUAUUAGAGCAGGAGUGCGGCUCUCAUGGCGACCCAGCCUAAGGCCCCUUAGUAAUCGCCGUAAAAAGGUGUAUUGGUGGUCACUAAGGGGUUAAACCAUUGUGUGCG